rnacentral:rRNA from 1 species
UACGAAGGGGGCUAGCGUUGUUCGGAAUUACUGGGAGUAAAGCGCACGUAGGCGGAACUGUAAGUUGGGGGUGAAAUCCCGGAGCUCAACUCCGGAACUGCCUUCAAGACUGCAGAGCUGGAGGAUGCGAGAGGUGAGUGGAAUUCCGAGUGUAGAGGUGAAAUUCGUAGAUAUUCGGAAGAACACCAGUGGCGAAGGCGGCUCACUGGCGCAUUUCUGACGCUGAGGUGCGAAAGCGUGGGGAGCAAACAGG